rnacentral:rRNA from 1 species
AGAUUGAACGCUGGCGGCAGGCCUAACACAUGCAAGUCGAGCGGCAGCACGGGUACUUGUACCUGGUGGCGAGCGGCGGACGGGUGAGUAAUGCCUAGGAAUCUGCCUGGUAGUGGGGGAUAACGCUCGGAAACGGACGCUAAUACCGCAUACGUCCUACGGGAGAAAGCAGGGGACCUUCGGGCCUUGCGCUAUCAGAUGAGCCUAGGUCGGAUUAGCUAGUUGGUGAGGUAAUGGCUCACCAAGGCGACGAUCCGUAACUGGUCUGAGAGGAUGAUCAGUCACACUGGAACUGAGACACGGUCCAGACCUCCGUACGGGAGCAGCAGGUGGGAAUAGUUGGACAAGUGGGGACGAAAGCCCUAGACUCCGAAGCCAUCGGCCGCGGUGUGGUGAAGUAGGUCGUUACGG